AAAUAAACAAUAUAUCAGCUAACUUAAAGUACUAUAACGUAAUAAUAAGACCAUCGAAUCAUGAAAAUAGAUUUCGACGUGGCGUAGUCUUCAAACUGGUGCUGAAAAAACCUAUAAUGUCUCGCUGCGGCUUGUAGGGCAUGGACAAGUGCUGUCACGUGAUUCCACUUGCCACCCCCACUGACGUCACUGGCUAAUGGCUCGGGACAGCUUCAUUCUCUUCUCGACUACUCGACUACUUCGCCAAGAUGACAACGAUGCAUGACAUGCCACAUCUCAGGAAGUGGUGCUGGUCCACUUUGUUGGAGAAUCUCCAUACUGAAGGACGGUUUGCUCAUUUCACGGAGGAGGGCAGAGAGAUGGCAAGAGGAACUCUACCCAGGCCCGGUUCUACGGGGGUGCAUAAGCAUGCAUUGCACCCCUCAAAAAAAUGUUUGCACCCUCAAUUAAAAAAAAAAAAAGAAGAUUUUUUUAUAUAAAUAUGAUAAAAAUAAUAAAAUAUUUGCUCACAAAACAAAUUGUAAUGAAACUUGUGACAAUUUCCAUUAAAUACCGUUGAGAUAUGAGCAUCCAACAUCACUCUGACCGCUCAGUGGUGAUCUAUUUUUGUUGCCGGAAGCAAUUUCAUUCGUUUAUAUGAUUAAAAAGACAAACAAAUCACAAUCUAUUGUCAAUUAUUAUUAUUAACAGUACAUUUUGCUAGUAUAACCGUUGUAUAAAGCAAUAUCACACUCGAGGUCGC
ensembl:lncRNA